GACGAACGCUGGCGGCGUGCUUAACACAUGCAAGUCGAGCGGAAAGGCCACUUCGGUGGUACUCGAGCGGCGAACGGGUGAGUAACACGUGAGUAAUCUGCCCCUGGCUUUGGGAUAGCCACCGGAAACGGUGAUUAAUACCGGAUACGACCACUUCUCGCAUGGGAUGGUGGUGGAAAGUUUUUUCGGCCAGGGAUGUGCUCGCGGCCUAUCAGCUUGAUGGUGAGGUAAUGGCUCACAAUGGCUUCGACGGGUAGCCGGCCUGAGAGGGUGACCGGUCACACUGGGACUGAGACACGGCCCAGACUCCUACGGGAGGCAGCAGUGGGGAAUAUUGGACAAUGGGCGGAAGCCUGAUCCAGCAACGCCGCGUGAGGGAUGACGGCCUUCGGGUUGUAAACCUCUUUCAGCAGGGACGAAGCGCAAGUGACGGUACCUGCAGAAGAAGCACCGGCCAACUACGUGCCAGCAGCCGCAGUAA
rnacentral:rRNA from 1 species